UGGGGAAUAUUGGACAAUGGGCUCAAGCCUGAUCCAGCAAUGCCGCGUGGAUGAAGAAGGUCUUCGGAUUGUAAAGUCCUUUCGGCGGGGACGAUGAUGACGGUACCCGCAGAAGAAGCCCCGGCUAACUUCGUGCCAGCAGCCGCGGUAAUACGAAGGGGGCUAGCGUUGCUCNNAANGACUGGGCGUAAAGGGCGCGUAGGCGGAAUGUACAGUCAGACGUGAAAUUCCUGGGCUCAACCUGGGGACUGCGUUUGAGACGUGCGUUCUAGAGUUUGGAAGAGGGUUGUGGAAUUCCCAGUGCAGAGGUGAAAUUCGUAGAUAUUGGGAAGAACACCGGUGGCGAAGGCGGCAACCUGGUCCUUGACUGACGCUGAGGCGCGAAAGCGUGGGGAGCAAACAGGAUUAGAUACCCUGGUAGUCCACGCUGUAAACGAUGUGCGCUGGAUGUUGGGCAGCCUAGCUGCUCAGUGUCGUAGCUAACGCGGUAAGCGCACCGCCUGGGGAGUACGGCCGCAAGGUUG
rnacentral:rRNA from 1 species